rnacentral:rRNA from 1 species
AGUGAACGCUGGCGGUAGGCCUAACACAUGCAAGUCGAACGGCAGCACAGUAAGAGCUUGCUCUUACGGGUGGCGAGUGGCGGACGGGUGAGGAAUACAUCGGAAUCUACUUUUUCGUGGGUGAUAACGUAGGGACACUUACGCUAAUACCGCAUACGACCUACGGGUUAAAGCAGUGGAUCUUCGGACCUUGCGCGAUUCAAUUAGCCGAUGUCGGAUUAGCUAGUUGGCGGGGUAAAGGCCCACCAAGGCGACGAUCCGUAGCUGGUCUGAGAGGAUGAUCAGCCACACUGGAACUGAGACACGGUCCAGACUCCUACGGGAGGCAGCAGUGGGGAAUAUUGGACAAUGGGCGCAAGCCUGAUCCAGCCAUACCGCGUGGGUGAAGAAGGCCUUCGGGUUGUAAAGCCCUUUUGUUGGGAAAGAAAAGCAGCAGGUUAAUACCCCGCUGUUCUGACGGUACCCAAAGAAUAAGCACCGGCUAACUUCGUG